rnacentral:rRNA from 1 species
GACGGAGGGUGCAAGUGUUAUCCGGAAUCACUGGGCGUAAAGCGUCUGUAGGUGGUUUAAUAAGUCAACUGUUAAAUCUUGAGGCUCAACCUCAAAAUCGCAGUCGAAACUAUUAGGCUAGAGUAUAGUAGGGGUAAAGGGAAUUUCCAGUGGAGCGGUGAAAUGCGUAGAGAUUGGAGAGAACACCGAUGGCGAAGGCACUUUACUGGGCUAUUACUAACACUCAGAGACGAAAGCUAGGGUAGCAAAUGGG